rnacentral:rRNA from 1 species
GACGAACGCUGGCGGCGUGCUUAACACAUGCAAGUCGAACGGAAAGGCCCUGCUUUUGUGGGGUGCUCGAGUGGCGAACGGGUGAGUAACACGUGAGUAACCUGCCCUUGACUUUGGGAUAACUUCAGGAAACUGGGGCUAAUACCGGAUAGGAGCUCCUGCUGCAUGGUGGGGGUUGGAAAGUUUCGGCGGUUGGGGAUGGACUCGCGGCUUAUCAGCUUGUUGGGGGGGUAGUGGCUUACCAAGGCUUUGACGGGUAGCCGGCCUGAGAGGGUGACCGGCCACAUUGGGACUGAGGUACGGCCCAGACGCAUACGGGAGGCAGCAGGGGGGAAUAUUGCACAAUGGGCGGAAGCCUGAUGCAGAAACGCCGCGUGCGUGAUGACGGCUUUCGGGUUGUAAACCGCUUUCGCCUGUGACGAAGCGUGAGUGACGGUAAUGGGUAAAGAAGCACCGGCUAACUACGUG